AUGCCGCCUCCCCGCCCGAGCGCUCGCGUCCAGGAGGAGAACCUACUCGUGCGCCUGGCGGCUCGGUGCGCGUCCGGGCGCCAGCUCGAUCAGCUCCACGCCCGCGCCGUGCUCCUCGGCCACACCCGCAACAGCUUCGUCGCCGCCAAGCUCGUCCGCGCCUUCGCCGACCUCGGCCACCUCGGUCGCGCGCGCGCGGUGGCCACGGCGCUCGGCCCCGCCGCCAACGCCUUCGUGUGGACAGCGCUGGUGCGAGCGCACUCCCAGUCGGAUGCCGCCGCGCACGAUGCCGUGGCGCUCUACGCCCAGAUGCAUCACGGUUGCCCGGGGAUCAAGCCGCUCACCUUCACCGUUUCCUCCGUGCUGAAGGCGGCGGCUCGCCGCAAGAUGCUGCAGGAAGGCGAGCAAGUUCACGUGCACGUGUUCAAGAAUGGAUUCCAAACCGACGAACGCAUCGCGACGACGUUGGUGGAUUUCUAUGCGAAGUGCAGCAGGCUGGAUGACGCCCGCAGGGUGUUCGACAGAUUGUCCGUUAAGGAUGCUCAGCUGUAUAACACUAUGAUUGCUGCACAUAUGGAGGUAGGUGAGGUGGAGCGUGCAGAGGAGCUCUUCGAGGCGAUGCCGGAGAGGAACGCAUACACACUUGUGGAGAUGGUUUGUGGGUACUCCGCACGUGGUGAUAUGGACUCUGCAAAGCGUCUCUUUGAAAUAGCAGUGGCAAAGGGAGCAGAAAACACGGUUGUGUGUACAGCCAUGAUAUCUGGCUAUGCGAAAACUGGCAAUGCCGAUGAUGCUAGGGCCGUCUUUGAUGGAAUGAGAGUGCGGGAUGCUGCAACCUGGAAUGUGAUGAUUGGAGUGUAUUCAGGUGCUGGUCGGGCUGUAGAGGCUGUCGAUCUCUUCAAGAUUAUGCUGGAGAUUAGAGCAAGGCCAAAGGUGGAGCCAAACCACACUACAAUCUCUAUUGUUGCAGCUGCAUGUGCGCAGUGUGGGUUACCGACUCAGGCUAGUUGGAUACAGGAUUAUGUGGAUCGUCAUACGAUGUUGUUGAACAACCAUACUGUAGCUGCCCUCAUUGAUAUGCAUUCAAAGUGUGGUAAUAUAGAAAGGGCACUUGACUUGUUCUGCAGCUGGAGGCAAAGAGAUCUUAUCUGUUAUAGUUCUAUGAUCUCUGCAUUGGGCAUGCAUGGCCGUGGAAAAGAUGCAAUUGCCGUUUUUAAUGAGUUGUGUGACAAUGGCUUCGACCCCGAUGAAAUCUGUUUUGUGUCAGUCCUCAAUGCUUGCAGUCAUACAGGUCUGAUUGAUGAGGGACGCCGAUACUUCAAGACGAUGAAGGAUGACUACAACAUUAUUCCUACUGUAGAACAUUACCUGUGCGUGGUGGACUUGCUUGGUCGUGCGGGAUGCAUUGAUGAAGCUUACCAAAUGAUCACACAUGAGAUGCCAAAGGACAUUGAAUCACAUGCUGGAAUUUGGGGCCCUCUAUUAAGCGCAUGUAGGACUUACUCAAAUGUGGAGAUUGGGGAGGUGGCAGCAAGUCACCUAUUCAAGUUGGAACCAAAUAACGUGGGGAAUUAUGUCCUGCUUUCAAAUAUAUACGCAAAUGCAAAGAAGUGGGACGGAGUCCAAAAGGUUCGAGCCCUCCUGAGGAGACAAGGAAUGAAGAAGCCGCCUGGGUGGAGCCAAGUUGAUGCUGAAGGCAGUCUUAGAGAGUUUAUCACCGGUGAGCUUGACAGUGUUCUAGAGGCGGUCUUGGAGAUACUGAAUUGGGAGCUCAAGGAUCAUGGUUACACGCCAAUCAUAGAAGAUGAAUGA
rnacentral:rRNA from 1 species